rnacentral:rRNA from 1 species
UACAGGGGGGGCAAGCGUUGUUCGGAAUUACUGGGCGUAAAGGGUCUGUAGGUGGCUUGCUAAGUCAGACGUGAAAUCCCUCAGCUUAACUGGGGAACUGCGUCUGAUACUGGCAAGCUUGAGUGCAGGAGAGGAACGCGGAAUUCCAGGUGUAGCGGUGAAAUGCGCAGAUAUCAGGAGGAACACCGGUGGCGAAGGCGGAUCUCUGGGCCGAUACUGACGCUGAGGAGCGAAAGCGUGGGGAGCGAACAGG